rnacentral:ncRNA from 2 species
CUCUUAUCCCGAGCUGGUGGAGGGACAGGCCCAAUGAAACCCAGCAACCUGCAAACGAGAAUGACAGCUUUUGAAUUUGCUGUCCCUUUUUCGGGCAAAGGUGCUAACCUGAUGCAAGGGAUUUGCCCUUGAACGAUAAGAG